GAUGAACGCUAGCUACAGGCUUAACACAUGCAAGUCGAGGGGCAGCAUGAAUAUUGGCUUGCCAAUAUUUGAUGGCGACCGGCGCACGGGUGAGUAACACGUAUCCAACCUUCCGGUUACUCGGGGAUAGGCUUUCGAAAGAAAGAUUAAUACCCGAUGUUGUGUAUCUUUCUCCUGAAAGAUACGCCAAAGGAUUCCGGUAACCGAUGGGGAUGCGUUCCAUUAGGCAGUUGGCGGGGUAACGGCCCACCAAACCUUCGAUGGAUAGGGGUUCUGAGAGGAAGGUCCCCCACAUUGGAACUGAGACACGGUCCAAACUCCUACGGGGGGCAGCAGUGAGGAAUAUUGGUCAAUGGACGGAAGUCUGAACCAGCCAAGUAGCGUGAAGGAUGACUGCCCUCUGGGUUGUAAACUUCUUUUAUACGGGAAUAACAUGAGGUACGCGUACCUUAUUGCAUGUACCGUUAUGAAUAAGCAUCGGCUAACUCCGUGCCAGCAGCCGCGGUAAUACGGAGGAUGCGAGCGUUAUCCGGAUUUAUUGGGUUUAAAGGGAGCGUAGGUGGGAUAUUAAGUCAGCUGUAAAAGUUUGGGGCUCAACCUUAAAAUUGCAGUUGAUACUGGUUUCCUUGAGUACGGUACAGGUGGGCGGAAUUCGUGGUGUAGCGGUGAAAUGCUUAGAUAUCACGAAGAACUCCGAUCGCGAAGGCAGCUCACCGGGCCGGAACUGACACUGAUGCUCGAAAGUGCGGGUAUCAAACAGGAUUAGAUACCCUGGUAGUCCGCACAGUAAACGAUGAAUACUCGCUGUUUGCGAUACACUGUAAGCGGCCAAGCGAAAGCGUUAAGUAUUCCACCUGGGGAGUACGCCGGCAACGGUGAAACUCAAAGGAAUUGACGGGGGCCCGCACAAGCGGAGGAACAUGUGGUUUAAUUCGAUGAUACGCGAGGAACCUUACCCGGGCUUAAAUUGCGCUGGCUUUUACCGGAAACGGUAUUUUCUUCGGACCAGCGUGAAGGUGCUGCAUGGUUGUCGUCAGCUCGUGCCGUGAGGUGUCGGCUUAAGUGCCAUAACGAGCGCAACCCUUAUCUUUAGUUACUAACAGUUUUGCUGAGGACUCUAAAGAGACUGCCGUCGUAAGAUGCGAGGAAGGUGGGGAUGACGUCAAAUCAGCACGGCCCUUACGUCCGGGGCUACACACGUGUUACAAUGGGGAGCACAGCAGGUUGCUACACGGCGACGUGAUGCCAAUCCGUAAAACUCCUCUCAGUUCGGAUCGAAGUCUGCAACCCGACUUCGUGAAGCUGGAUUCGCUAGUAAUCGCGCAUCAGCCACGGCGCGGUGAAUACGUUCCCGGGCCU
rnacentral:rRNA from 1 species